rnacentral:snoRNA from 1 species
AAGCAACACUCUGUGACAGAUUAUCAAAAUAGUCUGACGCAGUUUGAGCUUGCUAUAGCGAGAACGUCUAAUCUAUUCUGGCACUCUCUCCUCCACCAGAUGGCCCGAUACAUAGACUUAAACAUU